GAAAACAAAUUCUGUUGAAUCCAAAGCAAAGAUCUAGUCGGUGGCAUGUGGUUUUUCAGUUGUGUGUGCUUUGUUCUAUGGGUCUCAUUACUAGGUUCUACUGAGUCAGUCACAUUAACUCAGCCUUCAGCGGUCACAGCAUUGCCUGGAGGCUCAGUGACUCUGGACUGUGUGGCAUCGGGAUACAAUAUCAAUGAUCACCACAUGCACUGGGUCCGUGAAGCCAAUGAGAAAGGUCUAAUUUUCAUAGCAGCUUUCAAGACAGGACAGACCACAUACAUUGCUAAUGCAUUUAAGGGCCGAGUGACCCCCUCCACCAGCGGUUCCACAGCAAAGCUAAAGAUAAACGCUCUGACAGUUGAAGACACUUCCAUUUACUACUGUGCUACAUAUCCACACUGUUACAAAAAGGGCUCUUCUCUGAACAAUAUCCUCUAUGUGCCAGAAAUGUCUCAGCCACUGUAG